rnacentral:rRNA from 1 species
AGAGUUUGAUCCUGGCUCAGGAUGAACGCUGGCGGCGUGCUUAACACAUGCAAGUCGAACGGGAACCCCUGGAUUCGUCUGGGGGGGAGAGUGGCGAACGGGUGAGUAACACGUAGGUGACCUGCCUCGAAGACGGGGAUAACCACUGGAAACGGUGGCUAAUACCCGAUAGUCUCGACGAUUCGGUUCGUCGAGUAAAUGUUCCGGCGCUUCGAGAGGGGCCUGCGGCCCAUCAGCUAGUUGGUAGGGUAAUGGCCUACCAAGGCAAAGACGGGUAGGGGACGUGAGAGCGUGACCCCCCACACUGGCACUGAGACACGGGCCAGACUCCUACGGGAGGCAGCAGUGAGGAAUAUUGCGCAAUGGGCGAAAGCCAGACGCAGCAACGCCGCGUGGGUGAUGAAGGCCUUCGGGUCGUAAAACCCUUUUCUGGGAGAAGAGCAAGGACGGUAUCCCAGGAAUAAGCCUCGGCUAACUAUGUGCCAGCAGCCGCGGUAACACAUAGGAGGCGAGCGUUAUCCGGAUUUACUGGGCGUAAAGAGCGUUGAGGCGGCCUUGUAAGUUGGACGUGAAAGCUCCCGGCUCAACUGGGAGAGGUCGUUCAAUACUGCAAGGCUUGAGGACAGCAGAGGGGGGUGGAAUUCCCGGUGUAGUGGUGAAAUGCGUAGAUACCGGGAGGAACACCAGUGGCGAAGGCGGCCCCCUGGGCUGCUCCUGACGCUGAAUGCGAAAGCUAGGGUAGCAAACGGGAUUAGAAACCCCGGUAGUCCUAGCCGUAAACGAUGGAUAUUAGGUGUAGGGGGUGAAAAUUCCCUCUGUGCCGAAGCUAACGCGUUAAGUAUCCCGCCUGGGGAGUACGGCCGCAAGGCUAAAACUCAAAGGAAUUGACGGGUCUCCGCACAAGCAGCGGAGCGUGUGGUUUAAUUCGAUCGACGCGAAGAACCUUACCAGGGCUUGACAUGCAGGUAGUAGUGAAGCGAAAGCGGAACGAUCCCUCGGGAAGCCUGUACAGGUGCUGCAUGGCUGUCGUCAGCUCGUGCCGUGAGGUGUUAGGUUAAGUCCUGUAACGAGCGCAACCCUCACCGUUAGUUACAUGUGUCUAGCGGAACUGCCCGGCAAAACUGGGAGGAAGGUGGGGAUGACGUCAAGUCAGCAUGGCCUUUAUGUCCUGGGCUACACACACGCUACAAUGGCCGGUACAAUGGGUCGCCAAGCCGUGAGGCGGAGCCAAUCCUCUAAAGCCGGUCUCAGUUCGGAUUGUAGGCUGCAACUCGCCUGCAUGAAGCUGGAGUUGCUAGUAACCGCAGGUCAGCUACACUGCGGUGAAUACGUUCCCGGAGAUUGUACACACCGCCCGUCACGUCAUGGGAGCUGGUAACACCUGAAGCCGGUGGGCUAACCUAACGGAGGCAGCCGUCGAAGGUGGGACUGGUGACUGGGACGAAGUCGUAACAAGGUA